GCCGGCCUUGGAGACGCGGGUGAGAGGUGGGAGGGCUGUUUCCAGGUGACCUUGGGGACCUCCGAGGGAGAGAGCGGGGACAACGUCGGCCUGGAGCUCUCGAGGAGACACCGCGCGGGCUGUAUGAAGAGCUGCUGCAGAAAUCAGACCGGCUGGUUUAAGAUCAGCGUUUGCGAAGCGCGUUGCCACGCCGUGCGGGACGCUGCUCACUCGCGCCAGGCUAGACCGGCGUGGAGCUGCCGCCCGCGUCUCCAAGGGCAACACGCGCUUCGUUAUUGAGACAGGGUCAAGGAGGUCCGAGGCUCCUGCCCCGGUUCCCGAGGGCUGGGAUUGCAGGCUUGCACUGCGUCGCUGGGCUCAGGGCAGACAGAAUCAGGCCCACCUCAUUAGCCCGUUGUAGAUUAUCAGUUUCUCAUUGAUAAGUGAUGAAAGAUUGAUAGAUGCAAGGAAAUGGACUAGCUUUUUGGCCCAGGUAAUUCAAAUGGUACUUGUAACUGAGAAUUUAGAGAAAGACAAUGAAUGACCAGUUUUGGAUUGUUUGAAACACCAACACCAAUGUUCCCACAACCCCUGCCACGAGUCUGACACUAACUCUUACUGGCGAGACUGACUGAGCUGCAUAUAUUGUCCUCUGACCUCAUGAGCUUUAACAAAUUCUUAGGGUUAAAGGUUCUUUGAGUUAAAGGAGAUUAUCAAGUGUUGCUCAAGGGAAAAGCAGGAGACCAAUACUGUCUGGGGAAAUCAGAAAGGAGCUAUGUUGGAGAUUAUACAUAUAUCUCCGAAGGGUGAGAUGUGAGACAGAGAGAGAGAGAGAGAGAGGUGAGAAC